UACGUAGGGUGCGAGCGUUGUCCGGAAUUAUUGGGCGUAAAGAGCUUGUAGGCGGUCUGUCGCGUCUGCUGUGAAAAUCCGGGGCUCAACCCCGGACUUGCAGUGGGUACGGGCAGACUAGAGUGUGGUAGGGGAGACUGGAAUUCCUGGUGUAGCGGUGAAAUGCGCAGAUAUCGGGGAGGAACACCCAGUAGCGGAAGGCGGCUCGCUGGGCCGUUCCUGACGCUGAGACGCGAAAGCU
rnacentral:rRNA from 1 species